rnacentral:rRNA from 1 species
UACGGGGGGAGCAAGCGUUGUUCGGAUUUACUGGGCAUAAAGGGUGCGCAGGCGGCCCCGCAAGUCAGACGUGAAAUCCCCGGGCUUAACUUGGGAAUGGCGUUUGAAACUACGGGGCUGGAGUGUGGCAGAGGGAGGUGGAAUUCCACGUGUAGCGGUGAAAUGCGUAGAUAUGUGGAGGAACACCGAUGGCGAAGGCAGCCUCCUGGGCCAACACUGACGCUCAUGCACGAAAGCGUGGGGAGCAAACAGG